GUGGAUUAGAUACCCUGGUAGUCCUAGCCGUAAACGAUGGGCACUAGGUGUGGGGGGUAUGACUCCCUCCGUGCCGCAGCUAACGCAUUAAGUGCCCCGCCUGGGGAGUACGGCCGCAAGGCUAAAACUCAAAGGAAUUGACGGGGGCCCGCACAAGCAGCGGAGCAUGUGGCUUAAUUCGAAGCAACGCGAAGAACCUUACCAAGACUUGACAUGCAGGUGAAGCGGUGGAAACGCCGUGGCCGAAAGGAGCCUGCGCAGGUGGUGCACGGCUGUCGUCAGCU
rnacentral:rRNA from 1 species